CUGGGAGAUGACAGCCCCUGGAGGGGAGGACCAUGGCCAUGUCCAGGAGGAGCUGAGCAGCCAGUGUGGAUAGAUGGGUGUUGUGGACAAGGGCAGCACUCACUGCCCUGGCCCAUCAGGAGCUCUUGGGUUGGGAACCAGUGAGAACUGUAAGUUAUGAGCAGGGCUACUAUGUGCACAGGGACUUGGGCCAGAUAGGUGGCCUGGUGGGGAGAGCCACAGGUUGUACAGAAGCCAGGGGCCUGAGCCAUUGCUGCCAAGUGAAUUGCUAACAUUGCCAGCUGGGCAGGUGCCAUGCAAACCUGGCCCGUUAUCACUCCCAGAUGGUCUCUGCGGAUGGUGAGGAUGCCAAGAGAUGCGGGUGCCUCAGGGCCUGCAGAGAGAACCCGUUGCUGACUUCUGGCUUCCAGAACCAUGAGGGAAAGAAGCGCUGUUGCUCCAGACCGUGAGUUAUCCUCUUGUCACUUGCCUCCUGUGACCUUCACCUCAGCCAAGAUUGUCACCUUCACUUGCAGAGGGCCUGCCCUGGGCAACUUUGUCCUCUCUCCAGGCUCACAAGUAUCAGUUGAAGGCUGUCUGUCUCCAGCCUUUCUUUUCUUUCAGCAUCCCAAGCUCCUGGGUCACAACCUCCUUGGAGAUGCCCAGCAUGUUUCCUGUCCUGGAUGCCAUCUCUGGAGACCUGAAUGAACCCACGUGGGCAGACUGUCACUUCAGUGCCCUUGCUCCUCAAGAGGCCAGUGCCCUGCUCUGCCUGUCCCCAUGCUCCCCAAAAAAACUGGUCUCCCCAUUGGCUGCCUCUGAACAAUCACCAGCGAAUGGCCCUCCUCCCCCAGGGGACUUGAGCUGGCCACCUUUCCGGCACACCGGGGCUGCUGGCUCACGCCUGCGCAGCUGCACUCUCCCGCACCCUGUCUCCGUUCUCGCUAGUCACAGUUGCGCAGUAGCAGUGUUCCUCCUUUUAACUGGCAGAUUAAAG